CGGUGUUAGGCCUACUUCCACCGCAAAAAGCACCCAAUGGUGAGUGCCCUUCCAUCUCACUUGCCGUACUCCCUCCAUGGUGUGUGCUUGUGAUCUUUUCUUUUCCAAGAGAAAAUAUUGCAUUUUCAGGGUAUAGUAAAACAUGGACUCAAUCAUUCCACUGUUGUUUGAGAGAAUCUUAGUUGUGUCCAAUGCCAAUAUGUCAAGAAAGCCUCAGAGUGAAUGUGUUCUAAUUCAAUUUGCUAUGAACUCUUCCCUGGUUUUGAGUCCGCCAUUUGAUCUCUUAGCUUAUAAGGCUGGACAUGGAAAACUUGGGUUUGUCUUUUGUCUUUAUCAACCCUGGCUUAGAAGAAAAAAUAUUACGUUGGGAAAAAAAAUUGAGCGAAUGAGGGGUUUAUAGGGUAAAUAUCAUCCUCUCAUUUACAUUAAUGUAUAUUAAGCAUCAUCUCUUUAUUUACAUUCAUAUAUAUUAAGCAUUCACCUACCCUUUUAAUAGAUAUCAACAUGAUGUUCUAUCUUGCUGAACCAAGCAUUCUUGUAUAAUUUUAGUUGGUAGUUUGAUUGGUGUGUUGUGAACGAUAGAGAAAUUUCUAGUCACGAGUUUCCAGGGUGAGUAUUCAAGAUGCCAGUUUAGUUAUGUGAAGAAGACCGCAGACUUGCAGGUUUCCGUUUCAAUCUUUUUAAUUGUUUCCCUUUCGGAUUAUGGUCAUCUGGCACGGUUUAAUUACAAUCUGAUGGUUUUCCAUGCUGGCAUUGUCAUGUACUAGUGUGACGCGAUUCUAGUUGCCAAGCAUAAAUAAUUUCCAUUCUUGUCCAUAUUGUGUCAUGAUCUUGACUAUUCUUAUCAUCCAAUAAUUAUCUCAAGUAUUUGCACCAAUCUUACUAAACUCUGUUCAACUCUACUUGAACAACUUAGCAGCUGCGAGGGAGAUGUGUCUGCUUAGUGCGGUCGAGCUGCCUUGGGCAUUGAGAUGGUGCUGGGAGCAUUGUGCGUCUUUGAGGAGUAAGUGUGUUAUUCUCUCUUGGAAGGUAAUGUAUGGUUUUGUUGCUGAUGUUGGGUUUAGUUCCUUGAUGUUGCCAAAGGUGUAAUCUUUCCCCCAUGAAAAGAAUCUAAUGCGUAAUUGUGGUGGACCUUGGGACUCGAUGUGCUAGUGAUCAUAUGGUCAGAAGUACUUGGUGCCUUAUCAAUGAUGAGCUUGUGGUCUUUAUCAUAUCCACCUACUAGUUCUAAUGGAGAAAAAAGUUUUGUAACAUUCUUUCAGUUAAGCACAUAGUGUCACCAGUGUAAUGUUUCUAUUUUUCCCAUUUUAUAGUGGUCUUAAUAAUCAGCAUGGUAUCCGAGUGUCAACCUACAGUUUAGUUUUAGUUUUUAAUUCUUCAAUGGGAAAUAAGAUUUCUCAUUCCAUAUGGACAGAGAAAGCAUAGUUAUAGCUGUGGGGUUGCAGGACCGUGUAAAAGUUAGAAUAAGCUUUUGCGCACAAAAUUUAAGGGAAAACAGUUUAACAUCUAGUCACAUCUGUUUUCUGUUUGAGCUCCUAUAAUAUGAUUGCUGCUCUCAAGUCUGAAUCUCUCUGCCUGUAAUGAAAGAAUAUGGGGAUUUUUUGUGUUAGUGUUUGUUUGAAUCAGAGUUGGGUGUUUGAAACAAUGCCCAGGAAUUUAUAUUUUGUAAAGCCAUGCAUGUGCAGUAAUUCUGAAAAUGUUCGCUUGCACUAGAGUCAAUUGGCUCGGUGAAUGAUGCUCUAGUGCUUGCCAUAGUUGCUGCCAGCUAGUUCAACGUGAUUCCCAUGGCCAGAUAUAGAGUAUAUAUAGAUCAGGUAUUCCUGGCACAAUUACUACGAUUAAUCCAUUUGGAAAGGCAAAAUUAGGCUCAAAAUUCUUAAUCUGUUGCUUAUAACCAUCAUGCAAUUUUUGCUUUGCUUGUUCAUGCCGAUAAAAGACCAGACCCACUAGUGUAUUGAUCGAAACUUGUUUUAUGCAAUCAUCCUCUUGUUUUAUACAUUAUGGUAUGUUGUUGCAAGGUUCAAAGUUUACUUUGGUUCAUUUCUUGUGAUCACCAUGCUGCCUUAGUUGUCUAAUUACCAUUUUUUGUAGCGUUAUGUUGACUGUGCUUCUUCUUUGCAGCCAUGUAUUAUAACUAGCGCGUUGGCCUUAUCCUGUUCGACACACAGCAGAGGCGCAAAGGUGCGCCUAGCAUUGGUGCCAAAGAAAGCCGGUGCUGUUCUUUGUCCUCAACCCGCUCUACACCUUCAAAGUAAUCCGGUCCUGUUCCUCAACCUGCUCCUGAGCGUUGCCCAUGAGUAUGAUGCCGCCAUGUUGGGCAUGUGACUAUAGACUGUAGAAAGAAUGUUAUCUCUUUUGCAUUUGGUUGUCACCUUCUGGUUAAUUCGUGAAAUUGCUCAAUCUGAGUGGUUAGCUGAGUUAUGUUAGUCUGGCCCUCAAUUUCAACACUUCGGUGUACAUUCUAGUUUUUUAAUUGUUGGACGGAUGUUUUGUGCAAAGUCCAAUUGAUAUGUACUACUCAAUUUUCUAGUUUUGAUAUGCAUACUUGUAUUUUUCAUAAUUUUAAAUAACAAACAGAUGUUAGCGGUGUUGAGCAUGAUUGCUUGCAUUUAUCCUGUGGCUGGUUUAUGAUGCUUGCCUAUAGAGACGGAAGGUGUAUUUUUCUUAUGAGCAGGAAAUUCGAUCCAAUUUAAACACUCAUAUUGUUUGUUUUGCUUGCAGCCGCAACAAUUAUAAGUGUGGAGGGAGUUUGUCAAAUAUGAGAUGUUGAUGAGUCUUACUUGGUGCUCUUCUUCAUCAUUGGCUUGCUCUGCUCCUUCAAGGUAAGCUGGUCGUGGUCCUCGACCUGCUCCUUAGCGUUGCCCAAGAGUAUGAUGCUUCCAUGUUGGGCAUGUAAUGUCAUAACCACACAACGUGGUCCAUGAGUAUGAUGCUGUCAUGUUGGGCCUGUAAUGUUAUAACCACACAGCGUCGCCCACGAGUAUGAUGCUGCCAUGUUGGGCCUGUAACUAUAGGAUAUAGAAAGCAUGUUAUCUCUUUUUCCUUUGGUUGUCACUUGCUGGUUAAUUAGUGAAAUUGGUCAAUCUGAAAUUGUCCCCAUGAUCAGCUGAGUUAUGUUAGUUUGGCCCUUGCUUUCAACACUUUUUUUGUACAUUCAAGUUUUUAAUUGUUUGAAUGGAUGGUUUGUGCAAAGUCCAAUCGAUAUGUACUCCCUCUGUAAGGAAAUAUAAAAUUGCUUAGAUCGCUAGUAGUGUUCUAAAUGAUCUUAUAUUUCCUUACGGAGGGAGUACUACUCAAUUACCUAAUCUUUAUAUGCAUAAUUGAUUUUUCCUCACUUGUCUUUGUCACUUAUCUGUUGGUUGUAUUUUUCUUGUUUCUCUCUGUUGGUGUUGUAGAGCUGUUGCUGGUGCUGCGCAUGUGGUCAUUCUGUAUACAUGUGAUUGCAUGUACUUCUUUGAAUGGAACCACUCCAUAUUGAAGUCGUCAGUUUGGUUUUCCCAGUUCAACUGUUGUGCUGUCCAGUUUCAAAAAGGCUCUUUCUAGAGAUUAUUCUCCCUAGUUGAAGCUUUUGGUUCCACUUGCAUAGUCCAAAAUAGCAUGUUUGAUCUUCAUUUUUCUCCAUUUUAUACUGCUCAAAGUCUCCAUUGUCCAUGUAGCUGAGACUGUUUAUUUAGUUGUCUACUUCUCAUGUGUUUCAGCAUAUAUAAGCAUCUAACUACUCCGGUGCUGCGUAUAGAUGUUCAGUUAUGAAUAUGAACCUGAAACCUGAAAACUAAAGCCAUUGCAGGCGCACUGCAUAUAUGUCUAAUCGAACUGAUUGCAUUCUUUUAUUUUUUGUCAUUUGUUGCAGCCUUUCGUAAGCAGUUUGAUGUACAAUUUAAAUUUGGUUUCAUUCUUUAAACUUGUAGCUUGUAGCUGUGUUGAGCAUGAUUGCUUCCAUGUAUCCUGGGGCUGGUUUAUGAUGUUUGCCUAUAGAGACGGAGGGUGUAUUUUUGGGAAGGAGACUCAAUUCAAUUUGAACGCUGAUAUUUUUUGUUUUGCUUGCAGUCGCAACACUUGUAAGUGUGGAGGGAGUUUGUCAAAGAUGAGAUGUUGCCAAGACUUACUUGGUUUGUGUGACGGUUGCGAAAGCAUGUUGUUGUUCUCGUCGUCUCCUGGUAGUAGCAGCCGACACUCGGUUUUGUUCAUGAGCAGAGUCAUCUCCAUUAAUUCAGUUGACGAAGAGAAGAGGAGGACGGCGUCGGCGAAUACAAGGAUGGACGGAUGAAUUCAUCAGCAUAAUUAGUUAGGUUUCCUUUUUAUUUUUUUAAACAGAAGAUAGUUCCACCAUGUGCACUUUUGUUUUCUGUCGUGGAACAAACAUACGACUGCGUUGAUAUAAUAUAAAAUUUCUGAAUUCCCAAGAGGCUUGAUUCUUUGUUGAUUUUCAGGUGCAUGGAUGAAUGAACCAUGACCUGCUGUUAUUCUUGUGAGAAGUAAAUAGAUCUUCUUGCUUGUAGAAUGCUAGCUAGCUUAUCCUUGUCAUUGAGAUGGUGAAAUAAGAGAAAAGAGGCUAGCUUCUUGC
rnacentral:lncRNA from 1 species